rnacentral:rRNA from 1 species
GGGGAAUUUUGGACAAUGGGCGAAAGCCUGAUCCAGCAAUGCCGCGUGAGUGAAGAAGGCCUUCGGGUUGUAAAGCUCUUUUGUCAGGGAAGAAACGGUUCGGGCUAAUAUCCUGAGCUAAUGACGGUACCUGAAGAAUAAGCACCGGCUAACUACGUGCCAGCAGCCGCGGUAAUACGUAGGGUGCAAGCGUUAAUCGGAAUUACUGGGCGUAAAGCGUGCGCAGGCGGUUUUGUAAGUCUGACGUGAAAUCCCCGGGCUCAACCUGGGAAUUGCGUUGGAGACUGCAAGGCUAGAAUCUGGCAGAGGGGGGUAGAAUUCCACGUGUAGCAGUGAAAUGCGUAGAGAUGUGGAGGAACACCGAUGGCGAAGGCAGCCCCCUGGGUCAAGAUUGACGCUCAUGCACGAAAGCGUGGGGAGCAAAC